rnacentral:rRNA from 1 species
AAUGAACGCUGGCGGCAUGCCUUACACAUGCAAGUCGAACGGCAGCACGGGGGCAACCCUGGUGGCGAGUGGCGAACGGGUGAGUAAUACAUCGGAACGUGUCCUGUAGUGGGGGAUAGCCCGGCGAAAGCCGGAUUAAUACCGCAUACGCUCUACGGAGGAAAGGGGGGGAUCUUAGGACCUCCCGCUACAGGGGCGGCCGAUGGCAGAUUAGCUAGUUGGUGGGGUAAAGGCCUACCAAGGCGACGAUCUGUAGCUGGUCUGAGAGGACGACCAGCCACACUGGGACUGAGACACGGCCCAGACUCCUACGGGAGGCAGCAGUGGGGAAUUUUGGACAAUGGGCGAAAGCCUGAUCCAGCAAUGCCGCGUGUGUGAAGAAGGCCUUCGGGUUGUAAAGCACUUUUGUCCGGAAAGAAAACGCCGUGGUUAAUACCCGUGGCGGAUGACGGUACCGGAAGAAUAAGCACCGGCUAACUACGUGCCAGCAGCCGCGGUAAUACGUAGGGUGCAAGCGUUAAUCGGAAUUACUGGGCGUAAAGCGUGCGCAGGCGGUCCGCUAAGACAGAUGUGAAAUCCCCGGGCUUAACCUGGGAACUGCAUUUGUGACUGGCGGGCUAAAGUAUGGCAGAGGGGGGUAGAAUUCCACGUGUAG